rnacentral:rRNA from 1 species
UACGAAGGGGGCUAGCGUUGCUCGGAAUCACUGGGCGUAAAGCGCACGUAGGCGGAUCUUUAAGUCAGGGGUGAAAUCCCAAGGCUCAACCUUGGAACUGCCUUUGAUACUGGGGAUCUCGAGUCCGGAAGAGGUGAGUGGAACUGCGAGUGUAGAGGUGAAAUUCGUAGAUAUUCGCAAGAACACCAGUGGCGAAGGCGGCCAACUGGUCCGGUACUGACGCUGAGGUGCGAAAGCGUGGGGAGCAAACAGG